GGUGAACGCUGGCGGUAGGCCUAACACAUGCAAGUCGAACGGCAGCACAGGAGAGCUUGCUCUCUGGGUGGCGAGUGGCGGACGGGUGAGGAAUACAUCGGAAUCUACUCUGUCGUGGGGGAUAACGUAGGGAAACUUACGCUAAUACCGCAUACGACCUACGGGUGAAAGCAGGGGACCUUCGGGCCUUGCGCGAUUGAAUGAGCCGGUGUCGGAUUAGCUAGUUGGCGGGGUAAAGGCCCACCAAGGCGACGAUCCGUAGCUGGUCUGAGAGGAUGAUCAGCCACACUGGAACUGAGACACGGUCCAGACUCCUACGGGAGGCAGCAGUGGGGAAUAUUGGGCAAUGGGCGCAAGCCUGAUCCAGCCAUACCGCGUGGGUGAAGAAGGCCUUCGGGUUGUAAAGCCCUUUUGUUGGGAAAGAAAUCCAGCUGGCUAAUACCCGGUUGGGAUGACGGUACCCAAAGAAUAAGCACCGGCUAACUUCGUGCCAGCAGCCGCAGUAA
rnacentral:rRNA from 1 species